rnacentral:rRNA from 1 species
UACGGAGGGUGCGAGCGUUGUCCGGAAUCACUGGGCGUAAAGGGCGCGUAGGUGGCGCGGGCAGUCAACGGUGAAAGUUCGGGGCUCAACCCUGAAUCGGCCGUCGAUACUCCCGGGCUUGAGCACUGUAGAGGCUAAUGGAAUUCCGGGUGUAGCGGUGGAAUGCGUAGAGAUCCGGAAGAACACCGGUGGCGAAGGCGGUUAGCUGGGCAGUUGCUGGACACUGAGGCGCGGACAGCGUGGGGAGCAACAGGG